rnacentral:misc_RNA from 1 species
GAUGAAGAACGUAGUGAAAUGCGAUAAGUAAUGCGAAUUGCAGAAUUCAGUGAGUCAUCGAAUCUUUGAACGCACAUUGCGCCCUGUGGUAUUCCGCAGGGCAUGCCUGUUCGAGCGUCAUUUCAACCCUCAAGCCCCGCUUGGUGUUGGGCCCCGCCCGCCGUGGCCGGCCCUAAAGACAGUGGCGGCGCCGCCUGGCCCUCAGCGUAGUACAGCUCUCGCUCCAGGGUUCGGCGGCCGCCUGCCAGAACCCCCCCAACUCUGUGGUUGACCUCGGAUCAGGUAGGGAUACCCGCUGAACUUAAGCAUAUCAAUAAGCGGAGGA